rnacentral:sRNA from 1 species
UGCCAGGAUAGGCAGGAACAAAUUAAAAU